GUAGGUGGCAAGCGUUGUCCGGGAAUUAUUCGGGGCGUAAAGCGCGCGCAGGCGGUUCUUUAAGUCUGAUGUGAAAGCCCACGGGCUCAACCGUGGAGGGUCAUUGGAAACUGGAGAACUUGAGUACAGAAGAGGAAAGCGGGAUUCCACGUGUAGCGGUGAAAUGCGUAGAGAUGUGGAGGAACACCAGUGGCGAAGGCGGCUUUCUGGUCUGUAACUGACGCUGAGGCGCGAAAGCGUGGGGAGCAAACAGGAUUAGAUACCCUGGUAGUCCACGCCGUAAACGAUGAGUGCUAAGUGUUAGGGGGUUUCCGCCCCUUAGUGCUGCAGCUAACGCAUUAAGCACUCCGCCUGGGGAGUACGGCCGCAAAGGCUGA
rnacentral:rRNA from 1 species